UGGAAUUCCUUCUACUCCUUUGGACCCUUUGUGACGGACCACACAAUUAACGACUCACUGGAGGAGAUGAUAUGUCCUACUGCAUACAUUUGUUCUACCAUAUACUCAGCAUGCAUUGCUUUCUUGGGGAAGAUUCUGGUCCUUUUCUACCCCAAAUCCUACAUGAACUAUCCAGAAUGGGAAUUUUAGCAUAAAGGAGGGAGACAAGGCAAUGGAUACACCACAAACCCCACUUCAAAAAGAACCUGGAUCGUGGAAGGUGAGGGUCCUGCAAGUUGACUUUCUCUGAGUGCAC